rnacentral:rRNA from 1 species
AUUGAACGCUGGCGGCAUGCUUUACACAUGCAAGUCGGACGAGUGGCGAACGGGUGAGUAACGCAUUGGCACGUGCCGAACAAUGGGGGAUAACUGUCCGAACGGACAGCUAAUACCGCAUAUUAUUCUAUCGGCCGAUGUCGGAUUAGCUGGUUGGUGGGGUAAAGGCCCACCAAGGCGACGCUGCAUAGCGGGUCUGAGAGGAUGACCAGCCACACUGGGACUGAGACACGGCCCAGACUCCUACGGGAGGCAGCAGUGGGGAAUUUUGGACAAUGGGCGAAAGCCUGAUCCAGCCAUGCCGCGUGUGUGAAGAAGGCUUUCGGGUUGUAAAGGUCUGUUGUCAGGGAAGCGGUACCUGAAGAAUAAGCACCGGCUAACUACGUGCCAGCAGCCGCGGUAAUAC